rnacentral:rRNA from 1 species
GUCCACGCCGUAAACGAUGAAUGCUGGUUGUUGGCCUGAUGGCCAGUGACGACGCCAACGCGAUAAGCAUUCCGCCUGGGGAGUACGGCCGCAAAGGCUGAAAACUCAAAAGGAAUUGACGGGGACCCGCACAAGCAGCGGAGCAUGUGGUUUAAAUUCGAAAGCAAACGCGAAAGAACCUUACCAAGGGCUUAAAAAUGCAGAACGCAAUGAAAGUGGAAAACAUUUCAAGUCUUCGGAACGGUCUGCAAAGGUGCUGCAAUGGCUGUCGU